UCUUAGAUUGACGCUGGCGGCAGGCCUAACACAUGCAAGUCGAACGGUAGCACAGAGAGCUUGCUCUCGGGUGACGAGUGGCGGACGGGUGAGUAAUGUCUGGGAAACUGCCUGAUGGAGGGGGAUAACUACUGGAAACGGUAGCUAAUACCGCAUAACGUCGCAAGACCAAAGAGGGGGACCUUCGGGCCUCUUGCCAUCAGAUGUGCCCAGAUGGGAUUAGCUAGUAGGUGGGGUAACGGCUCACCUAGGCGACGAUCCCUAGCUGGUCUGAGAGGAUGACCAGCCACACUGGAACUGAGACACGGUCCAGACUCCUACGGGAGGCAGCAGUGGGGAAUAUUGCACAAUGGGCGCAAGCCUGAUGCAGCCAUGCCGCGUGUAUGAAGAAGGCCUUCGGGUUGUAAAGUACUUUCAGCGGGGAGGAAGGUGUUGUGGUUAAUAACCGCAGCAAUUGACGUUACCCGCAGAAGAAGCACCGGCUAACUCCGUGCCAGCAGCCGCGGUAAUACGGAGGGUGCAAGCGUUAAUCGGAAUUACUGGGCGUAAAGCGCACGCAGGCGGUCUGUCAAGUCGGAUGUGAAAUCCCCGGGCUCAACCUGGGAACUGCAUUCGAAACUGGCAGGCUAGAGUCUUGUAGAGGGGGGUAGAAUUCCAGGUGUAGCGGUGAAAUGCGUAGAGAUCUGGAGGAAUACCGGUGGCGAAGGCGGCCCCCUGGACAAAGACUGACGCUCAGGUGCGAAAGCGUGGGGAGCAAACAGGAUUAGAUACCCUGGUAGUCCACGCCGUAAACGAUGUCGAUUUGGAGGUUGUGCCCUUGAGGCGUGGCUUCCGGAGCUAACGCGUUAAAUCGACCGCCUGGGGAGUACGGCCGCAAGGUUAAAACUCAAAUGAAUUGACGGGGGCCCGCACAAGCGGUGGAGCAUGUGGUUUAAUUCGAUGCAACGCGAAGAACCUUACCUGGUCUUGACAUCCACAGAACUUUCCAGAGAUGGAUUGGUGCCUUCGGGAACUGUGAGACAGGUGCUGCAUGGCUGUCGUCAGCUCGUGUUGUGAAAUGUUGGGUUAAGUCCCGCAACGAGCGCAACCCUUAUCCUUUGUUGCCAGCGGUCCGGCCGGGAACUCAAAGGAGACUGCCAGUGAUAAACUGGAGGAAGGUGGGGAUGACGUCAAGUCAUCAUGGCCCUUACGACCAGGGCUACACACGUGCUACAAUGGCGCAUACAAAGAGAAGCGACCUCGCGAGAGCAAGCGGACCUCAUAAAGUGCGUCGUAGUCCGGAUUGGAGUCUGCAACUCGACUCCAUGAAGUCGGAAUCGCUAGUAAUCGUAGAUCAGAAUGCUACGGUGAAUACGUUCCCGGGCCUUGUACACACCGCCCGUCACACCAUGGGAGUGGGUUGCAAAAGAAGUAGGUAGCUUAACCUUCGGGAGGGCGCUUACCACUUUGUGAUUCAUGACUGGGGUGAG
rnacentral:rRNA from 1 species